UGGGGAAUAUUGCACAAUGGGCGCAAGCCUGAUGCAGCCAUGCCGCGUGUAUGAAGAAGGCCUUCGGGUUGUAAAGUACUUUCAGCGAGGAGGAAGGCAUUGUGGUUAAUAACCACAGUGAUUGACGUUACUCGCAGAAGAAGCACCGGCUAACUCCGUGCCAGCAGCCGCGGUAAUACGGAGGGUGCAAGCGUUAAUCGGAAUUACUGGGCGUAAAGCGCACGCAGGCGGUCUGUCAAGUCGGAUGUGAAAUCCCCGGGCUCAACCUGGGAACUGCAUUCGAAACUGGCAGGCUAGAGUCUUGUAGAGGGGGUGGAAUUCCAGGUGUAGCGGUGAAAUUGCGUAGAGAUCUGGAGGAAUACCGGUGGCGAAGGCGGCCCCCUGGACAAAGACUGACGCUCAGGUGCG
rnacentral:rRNA from 1 species